CUUGUUCCUUUGCAGCCUACGCAUGCUGACGCAGCUACCCACCUGAAUUAUAAUAAGUAAUUCACAUCUGUAAAUUUUUGAUGAAUAUAGAGAUAUUUUCAAAGCGCAAAUAUAUCAGUAUAAGCACUGCUUGAAUUAAUAUUCUAUAUUGCAAACACAGUUAAUAAUUUGUUCUCUGUACAUUCCUAUACCAUGUUAUGCUGUGCCAUCAUUGUUAUACAUUGUUACUGUUAUAUCUAUUUUCUAAUUUCCCGUUAGGACUUCAGUCCUUUUGAUUUACAUUUUUAGGAAGCUCAUCUACAAACGGUAGAGAGUCAUACUUUUUCUUUCAGAUGGAAAGGGUUGAAUUUUCCCAAGGAAACAUACAUACCCAUCUAAUCUAAUCAAUCUUACAUGUGUGCAUUGAUAGGUAAUGACCCUCCCCAUCACUACCAACACCUUUCUUAGCAGAACGGCUAUAUUGUCAUGUGUCAUCUGCUGGUGCUUUCUAGUCUGAUGAGAAGCCAGUUCAGCAGACAGAUUCCUUUUACUCAGUAAAGUGGCUUUAUUACUCCACUGUGGAUCACUGCCUCAUUCCGAUCACUUUUGUAUGCUUUUCCACUGAUUAAUUGCCUGUCUGGAGUGUGUCGCUCAUUUUUGCUUAAAGAACCCUGUCUUAAAGGAGAGCAGCCUCUGGUUUGAAAUUAGACUUUGGCUGUCAGAUCCAUUAUAGUUUUUUAGUUUUUCUUAGAAGGCUGAGCUGACUACAGACAUUUGUCAUAAUUCAGUGUGUGGUAAAUACAGUAUUUGUUUGUAUUUCGUACUCAUUCGAAGGUAUUCUAGGUUUUUGUCUUUUUCAACUGUGUCAAUCAGCUCUGAUUAUGUACCUACUAAUAAAGACUUUGGUAAUACUCUUGAGAUCUGAAGCCAUUUCCAGGGCUGUCUCCAUUCUUCUCUAACAUGAUUUUUAAAAAUGCUGUUGCUUAGCUGAGAUUUCAGUCACACCUGAGACUUUGUACUAAAUAAGAUGGCAUUGAUUCGUUAGCCAGUUCAGUUUAACAUAAUUUAAUGUCAGUAUUUUGCAAAAUGUGCAUACUGUAGAUUAAUCUUUAUAAGAUUAUCAAGUGGAUGCUCCACUAUCAAUUUGCAGGCUUAUCCCUUUGAGACUUUGUAAAUAUGAAAACACAGCAUCCUAAUCCUUAGUCAUAUCAUUAGUUUUGUGCAUACAAUAACAGACCAACACCAGAAUCUUUCAAAGCGUUUUUUGUUGGGGUACUAGAAGAAACAAGUGUUACGUGUACAGGACAAAUUUUGCAUUUCCUUGCUGACUUCCAGUCGUUUUACAAGUGUUCUUUUUCUCAUUUGGUAGCCAGGAUUCCUCCUAUCUGACACACACCAAACCGAGUUCAGUGAGGCAGUAAAGUUUUUCUCAUAAUCAGAUAUGCAAGAGAAGGAAAUCACAAUGCACUAUGAGUCCUAACGGAUGUCCAGUAUUUAUGCAGAAGCUUGUUUCCAUAGGCAAACACCAGGCUGUGCAGCAGUUGUCUGACUGGGGAAAGGCCAAGGCUGAGCUGGGGUCCCCUGUGAUGCACCUUGCUGAACCAGCACAUUGCAGGAUUAGGAAGGUGAACUAAAAACUCAGACUGCCUGCUCAAGUCCCAGUAAGCUAGUUUCCAAUUUUUGUAUUUGUAUCCAUAGGGAAAAUCACACUGGUCCAGGCUCCCUGCAAGUCAGAACAGAGCAAAUUGGCUGAGGUUGAUUCACCUGACUGCUACGUGGCCCAGCAGGAUUGUCACACAGAGCCUGGCGGACUCCUCCAUAGUGUGAAGUAUAUUAUCUAGGGAGAGAGCAAAGGUGUCACAAUGAAAAGAGCCCUAAUGGAGAAAGUUCCAGACCAUUAUGCCACCCUGGACAUGGGCAAGCUGCUUGUAAGUGUCUGGGAACAGUGCCUUCAAUGCGAUUGUACACUCAGGAUUUUUUCCUGUGUGAAGAGUUGUAUUUUAGCUCUCAAUGAGGUCAGGGUAAACUAGAUAUUUGUCUUUUAAUAUACAAACAUUUUAUUUUUUACCAUGGUAAGUGUGAAUAUGCAGAGUUGUUGUAAUAAUAUAACAUUUAUGCCUAUGCAUAUCUGUAUGAUACUAGUUAAUAUUUUUGUUUGUAAGCUAAAUGGAGAAAAUUGUAACACACAUUUUCAGACAUUCUUUGUAUGUAUGUGUUAUUUUGUCUAACAAGCAUCAUGAAGCUUAAAGUUUAACGUGAAAGUUUUGAAGCUUUGUUUUAUGGAAAUCAUAUGAAAUUAAAUGGUGGAUUUCACCAAAUGUU